rnacentral:rRNA from 1 species
AGAUGGGCCCGCGUACCAUUAGCUUGUUGGUGGGGUAACGGCCUACCAAGGCGACGAUGGUUAGCUGGUCUGAGAGGAUGAUCAGCCACACUGGAACUGACACACGGUCCAGACUCCUACGGGAGGCAGCAGUGAGGAAUUUUGCGCAAUGGGCGAAAGCCUGACGCAGCAACGCCGCGUGAGUGAUGAAGGCCUUCGGGUCGUAAAGCUCUGUCAAGUGGGAAGAACCUAUAUAAUGCCAAUACCAUUAUAUAUUGACGGUACCACUGAAGGAAGCACCGGCUAACUCCGUGCCAGCAGCCGCGGUAAUACGGGGGGUGCAAGCGUUAUUCGGAAUCAUUGGGCGUAAAGAGCACGUAGGCGGCCUGGUAAGUCAGAUGUGAAAGCCCGGGGCUUAACCCCGGAAGUGCAUUUGAUACUGUCAGGCUUGAGUAUGGGAGAGGGAAGUGGAAUUCCUGGUGUAGAGGUGAAAUUCGUAGAUAUCAGGAGGAACACCGGUGGCGAAGGCGACUUCCUGGACCAAUACUGACGCUGAGGUGCGAAGGCGUGGGUAGCAAACAGGAUUAGAUACCCUGGUAGUCCACGCAGUAAACGUUGAUCACUAGGUGUAGCGGGUAUUGACCCCUGCUGUGCCGCAGUUAACGCAUUAA